ensembl:lncRNA
UUUUUUUUUGUUCUUCACAUUAAAUACACACAGUAAACGUGGACAAACCACAUCUCCUGAGAACCUGAUCUGCCUAGAAUACUUUGUUUCUUUAUAAACAGUUUAUUAUCAUUAACUGUAGAAGAUCAUUUAUGGGAACAGGUAUUUAAAAACUAAUUUAACCAUGAAGUGCUUGACUACAGCUAAAAGCUCCAAAUUAAUUGUGAGAAAAUAUUGAGGAAGGACUAAACUUUUAGGUGUUUCGUACUGACUUUCACAUCCUUAGCACUAAGUUCAACUUCAGACAAGAAAAUACUAUGAGCUACAUCCUGAUGAGUUAUCCAGCUCUUCUGCUGCUCCUCAUACGUUUCUGGAGAACUUUAAGUAACUCCCUAUUUAAGUACUCUCAAAUUAACUCCUGUCCAUCUUAAGAUCCCAUAAAGACCUUAACUAGCAUUUCAGACAGACACAAACCAAGAAAAUGAGUCAUGAGGAAAAAUGUCUUCUUUCUCCUCUUUUCUGUUCUCCCCUCCCAAACGGAAAAAAUGCUGAGCACUACUUUUCUCCCACCUUCAUGUCCCUAGACACUGACACCUAUUAACUACCUUUUAAUGAGUGUUGAACAUGACAUAUAGCUAGGCCACCAACCAGUAACAUACACAGGAAAAGACUAGGCCAUGUUGAAACCACUAGCACUUUUUGAAACUCGGAUUUCAAUUAAGCUACACAAAAAAAAAAAAAAAAAAAAAAAAAAAAACCACAAAAAAAAACCCAAAAAACCUUGAAAAUUUCAUCCUAUCAUUUGUAAUAGUUCUGCAGAAUUUAAAUGAAUGUUAUUUUUGAGAAGCAAAUAACUGCUACCUGCAGAAUAGUUAAUGUUUACAUUAUCAUUGCUAUUCAAAUGUAUUUACGCGGGCUUUGUAAUUCUUACCUACCACUGGAAAAAGUUACAUGUUGAAAAUAUGAUGAUCAAAUGUAAAUUUAACCACUUGAUUACAAAAAUUUAACAAUGGUUAUAAACUGUUUAUGCUUUAGUUAAAGAAUGCGGCAAGCUUUUGAGAAAGGGCAGCAUAAAGUGAGAGCUCUUCUGGCCCGCUAAGGAAAGAGCCAAAAUGAAAUGAUUUGAUUGGCAAAACAGAUGGCAUGACCUUUGACCUCUCCUGUGCCACCCAGUGUACUCUCUGAAAAGAGAUAGAGGUCUAUGAAUUAAUUCAGUGAUGGAAGGAGGGAAAACAACACAACAAAAAAAACCAAACCCAAAACCAAGUUUGGGUAAAAAAUAAAAAAAAAAAACAACAAAACAAAAACACCAAAAAAAAAAAAAAAACAAAAAAAAAAACACACAACCCACAAAAAACCAUGAAAAUAAACCAAAAACCAACCCAAAACCAAACCACAAAAAAGCCACCCUCCUGUUGACAAAAAAGGACAGUAUUUAUGCAGCUUAUAGCACUUAAUUUUGCCUAAACAAAGUUUCAAAUUGUUUCUCAGCAAAACAGAGCUGGUGCUUACCUCUGUCACCAAUAAAGUCUGGCGCAUGUGAUGCCAACAGCUCUGCUCAUUUGCAUACAGCCAAGCUAAGCUGCUGCAAUGAAGAGCACUUCGACAGCCAUUUUGAAACUGCACUGUCUCAGCUGCACUGAAAAUGUGAUUAAGAUGGCUGCAGUGUGCACUCAAGACCAGCCACUCAGUGACAACUCAGCAGUGGAUAAAACAUUUGUACAGCAAAGCACCUCCCUCUUUGCUACACUGCAACAAACUGCACAGGCAGAGUGGGGGGGGGAAGAGGAAUGGUUUCUUGACAGGCAGGAAAUGGUUAAGGCACAGCUGCAACAUUGCACC